rnacentral:rRNA from 1 species
AUUGAACGCUGGCGGCAGGCCUAACACAUGCAAGUAGAGCGGAGCGGCGGACUGGGGAGUAAUGCCUAUGAAUCUGCCUGGUAGUGGGGGAUAACUUCCGGAAACGGGCGCUAAUACCGAAUACUAUCAGAUGCGCCUAGAUCGGAUUAGCUAGUUGGUGGGGUAAAGUCCUACCAAGGCGACGAUCCGUAACUGGUCGGAGAGGAUGAUCAGUCACACUGGAACUGAUACACGGUCCAGACUCCUACGUGAGGCAUCAGUGGGGAAUAUUGGACAAUGGGCGCAAGCCUGAUCCAGCCAUGCCGCGUGUGUGAAGAAGGUCUUCGGAUUGUAAAGCACUUUAAGUUGGGAGGCGUUACCAACAGAAUAAGCACCGGCUAACUUCGGGCCAGCAGCCGCGGUAAUUC